UACGAAGGGGGCUAGCGUUGUUCGGAAUCACUGGGCGUAAAGCGCACGUAGGCGGAUGUGCCAGUCAGGGGUGAAAUCCCGGAGCUCAACUCCGGAACUGCCUCUGAUACAGCACGCCUUGAGUUCGAGAGAGGUGGGUGGAAUUCCUAGUGUAGAGGUGAAAUUCGUAGAUAUUAGGAAGAACACCGGUGGCGAAGGCGGCCCACUGGCUCGAUACUGACGCUGAGGAGCGAAAGCAUGGGGAGCGAACAGG
rnacentral:rRNA from 1 species